GUGAGGAAUAUUGGUCAAUGGGCGAGAGCCUGAACCAGCCAAGUCGCGUGAAGGAAGAAGGAUCUAUGGUUCGUAAACUUCUUUUGCAGGGGAAUAAAGUGCAGGACGUGUCCUGUUUUGUAUGUACCCUGAGAAUAAGGAUCGGCUAACUCCGUGCCAGCAGCCGCGGUAAUACGGAGGAUCCGAGCGUUAUCCGGAUUUAUUGGGUUUAAAGGGUGCGUAGGUGGUUUGAUAAGUCAGCGGUGAAAGUUUGCAACUUAACUGUAAAAAUGCCGUUGAAACUGUCGGACUUGAGUGUAAAUGAGGUAGGCGGAAUGCGUGGUGUAGCGGUGAAAUGCAUAGAUAUCACGCAGAACUCCGAUUGGGAAGGCAGCUUACUAAGCUACAACUGACACAGAAGCACGAAAGCGUGGGGAUCAAACAGGAUUAGAUACCCCUGUAGUCC
rnacentral:rRNA from 1 species